AACAGGUGUCGGCGGCGCGCAGCAGCCGCGCAGCCCCGGCCCGGCCCCUCCGCGCAGGUAGCGCGCAAAGUCAGCCGGCGCGCUUGCCCGCGCAUGCGCAGAGGGGCGGCGGCAGACGCGGUACCUGCCGGCCCGGGGCCGGGAUGCGGCUGGAGCGCGUUUGGCAGCUGGCGUGCCGGGGUCCGUCGGGAAAGCCCGGGGCUGUGUUCUGCGUGUCUUGAGGGCACUUCGCACUUUGAAAGGGGUAAAGAAAUGGCCAUUGGUAUAAAUGGGGGGGUCUGCAAAAUCAAGGGUCGGUGCGUGUGUAGUUCUUCCUGUUUAAAAAAUACACCCUCUCUGUAAUUAAUUGCGAUGCAUGUAUGUACCCAUAGCCUUUUUUUUCCUAUGUAUGCUAUUACAUGAGACAUGACUCACAGGAUGACACAUCUGUAGAGUGGAUAAUCUCAACUGUAGUAAUUUGGUGCAGGGGAAUUUCCACAGUAUCAGACAUAAACUAUUUUCAUAAGAUCUGCUUGCUUAUUGUACUUUAACUUCAAUUUACGGGAAAUUGUGUUCUAGUGCCACUUAAGAUGCCUUUUGCUACUGAAAUUUAAGCUAUCCUGCACUAAAACCUUUAAAAUUGCAAAUACAACCAGGAAAACACAGAGCAAUGUUUUACUUCGAAGUCUUGUGUACUCAUAAUUGCACAGAACACUUCUUCGAGCCAUUUUUAGGUGGGUUUUUUUGAGAAUGCUUGUCUGGAGGAGCUUAUACAAGUUGAGUUCCAGAGGUGGGAUCCCAGUGGUGGGAUCUAGUGUUGCAUAAAACUUGUAAUUUCAAAGUAUAAAUGUGCUUCCUCUUCCUUUUUUUUCAUUUGUAGAAAGCCAACUCUGUAUAUAUUUUCUUUCCCUCACCUGUUCUUUUUGCAUGUCAUCUUGUCUCACACCUUCUGAAGACAGAUCAGAUCCAUAAGAAGAUCAGGAGAGAGCCAGACACGCGUGAUAAUUGCCACUUGGAGAUCUGGGUGACCUUUGAAUUAGGAAACCUACCACUUCAUUUGUUCUCUACCUUUCUUACAACAUGAUGCUCACCAGCCCUUCUGCUUUUCUACUUGCUCCCACAGAUAAUUCUCAUGGUCCAAAAGAAAAUGUAGUUUGUAGGGGUUUGGGUUAACCUUGGUGAUAUCAAUGCAACACUGGGAUUAGAAACCUAGAAAGAAAGAGAUUUUUUAAAAGGUUCAAGACUCCUCAAAGCUUCUGGCAUGGUAAGUGUUUCUAAUUGUUAUGGGGAGUGUCUCAAUUUAAUUUACCUCUCACCUAUACUGACACACUGACAUAAACCAACAAAUCCUGGGGUCAUUCUUUGUAAACUUCUCUAGAUUACAUUUCUUUUACUUGCUGACCCUUCCAUGUAAUGAUAUUGUUGAGUGUUUUCUUUUUCUCUCUCUGAGUUGAUAUCAGCAAAACUCAAAUUACUGUAACUGAUAUUUGAAAAUUCUCCCUGUGUCAAGUGAAGACUUACGGUGCUGAAAUCAAUAAGACUGUUUAAAAUUCAAAGACCUGCAAAUCGUUCUGUUUGUCCUUUGAUAGGGCCUGGGCUGAUUAAAAUGAGACCAAGAAAGCUUAAUUGCUGCACUAAUUAAGAAGUCUUUAAUUUCUUUCCUGGAAUAUUGUUUGAAGCAGGGUUUCUGUUCUGCUCAUGUAACUGUUCAGAGCAGGUAUUCUCUCUCUUCCUCUCUUCUUUUUUCUUUUUACCAUUUUUGUGUAUUAAAAUGCGUGUUAAAACAGUAAGAUGUAUUGACAGUGAUAGUAAUUUAUUGCUCUAAAAAAAGACUGAUAUGGAGUUCACUAUUUUAUUAAAUUACAAUUUUGAGGGCAGCUGGAAAGGGUAAAAUGCAAUUAGAAAAUGCAUUGUAGCUGUUGCAUUUUAAGGAAUUUGAAUACUUGAUUGACAGGAGAUAGGAUAGUACAUCAGCUCCCUCCCCCAUCUUCAGUUAUUAUUGAUAAUUAAAUAUUUAAAUUCAGUCAGUAAAAAACCCCAGAAAAGUAUUUAUCUUCUGAACGUGUGUGAAGGAACGGACCGGGGGAGGAGAUGCAUACAGAAAAUAGGCACCUGGUAAGGAUGAAUAGUGUAUUAUCAUGUUAAGUUCAUCCACAGUUUUUUUCCUGCAUUUCUUUGGAAUUUAUUUUCCUGAGAAAUACCUUUCUGUCUUGUAUCUUAUCUUACCCUUGUUUAGUGACCUAUUUUGUUCACCAUUCCUGAAGAGGAAAAACUAGAUGAUUUCACAAAGCUUUCUGUGUGAUCAAUAGAGUAAUGUUUUAGGUUUAAUCAUGCUGCGUUAUAAUUCUGGCAAAUGACUGCCGAGCAGAAGAUUCUAAGAAAGGAGCAAGUACUGGUGAAGAGAAGGUAAGUUCUGCUUUGCUUUAAUCUCAGGUCUCGAGCAGCAAUCCCCCUUUGAGGAGCUAUCUGUUAUUUAGAGGGAAGACUGAGAAAGAGGGAGGGACCUCAUACUGAAUCCCUCCUGCAUCACUCAGGAAAAUAGACUCAUAGAAAUUCGCCGUUCUGACUUCAGAAAAGGCGUUUCGAAGUCAGUAACUAAAACAGCCCUUCUGUCGAUCUGAGCCUCUCGGUCACGUUGCUGCUACCAGAGCCACAUGGUGAAACGGAUCGGGUCGUGUUCCCAUCCCGGGCUGGCCCGGGAUGGAUGGAUGGAUGGAUGGAUGGAACAGUGGCUGGCCACUGCCUGCUGACAUUCACCUGACAACUGACAGCCGAGCAGAAGAGCUGCAGCACGGGGAGGAAAUGAUAACCAACUUCCCUGCGUGUUUUAAAUGAGGGCUGGGAUAGACGGGGGGCCGUCUAUGGUGUUUGAGUUAGAUUUGGGCUCUCAUUAGAGGUCUUCAGUCCAACGUGCUAAUUCACCUACCAACAGGUAGGAAGAGUCGCUCGGAGCAAUAAUCAUGAAGUACAAAGCCCUUGCCAUUAAAUUAUGUUAAAGCGGUGAUCUAAUCUGAGCUGCCCUUUGCCGUGCCUUCCCCCCUUUACAGAAUUAGUUCGCUCAGCCUCUCUAUCCCUCGCUCCGAAGCCAGGCUAAUCGGAACACUGGCACCGGGGAGCCGGCCCCGAGUUCAGUGCUCCUGGCUCUCCAAUGCCGUCUCUGCCGAUGCCGGUGCUCCUCGCCCGGCAGCUGGGGGGAGCGCCUGAAUCCUCCUCCCUCCGUCCCUCCCUCGGCCCCGGCGAGUCCGCCGUGCCGCCGCCCGCGGGGCGAUGAGAGGGGAGGUGGGCGGCGAUCGGGCCCCCGCGCCCGGCCGGGCGGAGGGCGGCGGCUCGGCUGCUGCUCUAGCACUAAUUGCUUCCCUUAACAAUAAUAAUAACAACAACAAAAAAUGCACAUUGCCUUCUUCUUUUUAUAUAGGAACUGACAGCCUGCGGGACGCAGCCUCUCCUUCCUCAUGUCACUUAAGUGAAUGGAAAACAUGGAGGGGGGGGGACCUUUGUUAUUCUCCUAUUUCAAAACAACCAGACAAACAUUAUUAAUUGGUUUUUUUGGGGUGGGGGAGAGGAAGUGUUUUUAAAAGUCCGAGCCCUUGCUUGAAAAGUUUCAGCACAGAGCGGAAUUUUAUAGUUAUAAACUCUGGGUAAGAGGGGGAUGUUAUAAAUGGAAGUGCUGACACAACCUUAAGUAUAGCGUGUAAACGGCUAUGCUAUAAUAUCCAUUAAGCAGAAAGAAAAAUAAGAUGGCUGAUCAAUAAUUUAUACAAAGAGUACCAACUGCAGACAUAAUAACUGUAAUGUUUGCAAAGCAAUCUCUCGCUCUCCAGGCUUAACAGUAAACUAGCGGGGCUGUUAAUUUCCAACUCCUACAGGUAAGAGUACAAACAAAUUACUUAAACUUGUAUUUUGCUCGAUAUUUUGCAUGCCUCGGUAGGAUAAAAUACAAUUUAAUUACGAUGCAACUUGGGCUGAUUGAGGAGCCUCCGCCUCCCUCCCCCUUUCCUCCUGCUCGCCCGCCUGCUUCUCCGAAGGGACCUUCUUGGGCAAAGCUCAGCCCGAGAGACAGGAACUGAUUGCUUGGACGGGCGUUGUAAACGGGUCGACUUUUGGGUCACUGUACUUCUUCGGAGAGUUAUUCAUACACGGAAACAAAAUGAAGCCAUUUAACUUCAAAAGAAAGUUACAAGGUUUUCCAGUGCCACGAGCUGAAACACAAUACCCCCACCGGCCCGAUAAGCAUCAGCUGUCAGAGGACAAUGCACUGGCUUUCCAUGCAUCAGGCUACUGGGGAAAAAAAAAUCUGCUUUAGGGAAAACCAGUGCUUCUUCCACUAUCAUAAACGAGAAUAGGCAAGCAACUGAUCUCUUCAUUGACAUGGGAGCGUUAUCUCCCAUUUCUGUCUACUGUAUUUAGGUAGCAAAGCAGAGGAACAAAGUCUGAAAGUUGCUAAGUAGACUCCUAUAACGUGCCCAGGCUGGUUUUUUUGCAUGUCUCUUGCAAUAGUACCAAAGAGAUCACUUCUUUCUUAAAUAACAAGAGGUAAAUGUGUCAGUGGAGGACGUUUUUUGAAAAUUCUCCCCCAUGCCAGCCUGGACAAAAUACCAAAGUUAUGUUGCCAGCCACACAAAAAGAAACUCAUCUUUAAAGUGGAGUGCACAGCUCUCCGACAGCUUCAGCUGUGCUUCUUUGGGACGUCACGGGUGUUUUGUGUAGUAAAAACAGAGUAAGAAAGCCAGAGACACCUUAAUUCUGAGCCCUGAGCUGUGUCGCGGGGUGCAGCUCUACGGGGUACAGCUUAACAAAUUUAAAAUAAAUAAAUAAAAGCUGUAAUUUGCCUACAUGCCUCGUGCUUGUUACCAGUGACCUCUCCCAGUUCAGCUUCAAUCAAGUACAGUAACAUAAAUGACAGCUGUGCAGUCCGCAGGCAGACGGAGUCCUUCGCGUGAAGGCAGUGGUUCCGCCGCCCCGGCUGCCCCCGGUGCCCGGCUGGAUGCAGCGUGGAAUAUCGCUGCUGGGAGGAACGGAACGGAAAGUGCAGCGCCCACUAGUGCCCGUGCGGGCGGGGCAGCGCUCCCUCCGCGCCCCUCCGCACCCCGCGGAGAAACCCUUUCUGGGAAAGGAAAUGUGCGUGGAACUGGGGAAUGUGGUGCGGACAAAAGAAGGUUUAAGCCCAUCUGUGGCUAAAGUAAGGAUUUGUUUCUCCAUUGUCUAAGUGUAAACUUAGAAAAAGCAGAAAUGGAAAAGUUGUCUUUCCCCUGCUGCUCCCCAUCAGUCUGAGGAGGUGUGUGAAUGGGGCAAGUGUUUCACAGGCAGCAUCUUCACACUCAUAGUGAAGGGAACUGGAAGGGCUGCCUGGCUGUAAAGCCUUGAUGGGAAACAUGAACAACACCAGACACACUUCUGAGCUUUGGAUAACCCUCACCCCCCCGCCCCAACGCUUGAAAACUACAGAAGAUUUGUGAGGUAUUUCCAUUAGGACCCAUUCUUUUCUCAGGUGUUUUGAGGUUGUGUUUUGGGGCUUUGUUUAUUUUUUUUUUACACAUGAGAGACUGUUCCUGGGCAGCAUUUUGAUUUUCUUGGAGAUUGUCUGAUCUCCUUGAUGUGGAGAUGAAGAUGAACUUUGCAAGGAAGGCAACAAACAGCCCUCUGGAUAGAAGAUACCAAGCAGAUAAGCUCAAAAUAAACUUUUGCAAUGGCA